CGCUGGCGGCAGGCCUAACACAUGCAAGUCGAGCGGCAGCGACAUCAACAAUCCUUCGGGUGCGUUGAUGGGCGGCGAGCGGCGGACGGGUGAGUAAUGCCUGGGAACAUGCCUUAGUGUGGGGGAUAACCAUUGGAAACGAUGGCUAAUACCGCAUAAUCUCUACGGAGCAAAGCGGGGGACCUUCGGGCCUCGCGCGCUAAGAUUGGCCCAGGUGGGAUUAGCUAGUAGGUGGGGUAACGGCUCACCUAGGCGACGAUCCCUAGCUGGUCUGAGAGGAUGAUCAGCCACACUGGAACUGAGACACGGUCCAGACUCCUACGGGAGGCAGCAGUGGGGAAUAUUGCACAAUGGGGGAAACCCUGAUGCAGCCAUGCCGCGUGUGUGAAGAAGGCCUUCGGGUUGUAAAGCACUUUCAGCAGUGAGGAAGAGGUGGUGUUUAAUAGAUGCCAUCUUUGACGUUAGCUGCAGAAGAAGCACCGGCUAACUCCGUGCCAGCAGCCGCGGUAAUACGGAGGGUGCGAGCGUUAAUCGGAAUUACUGGGCGUAAAGCGCAUGCAGGCGGCGUGUUAAGCCAGAUGUGAAAGCCCGGGGCUCAACCUCGGAAUCGCAUUUGGAACUGGCAUGCUAGAGUCUUGUAGAGGGGGGUAGAAUUUCAGGUGUAGCGGUGAAAUGCGUAGAGAUCUGAAGGAAUACCGGUGGCGAAGGCGGCCCCCUGGACAAAGACUGACGCUCAGAUGCGAAAGCGUGGGGAGCAAACAGGAUUAGAUACCCUGGUAGUCCACGCCGUAAACGAUGUCUACUUGGAGGUUGGUGUCUUGAACACUGGCUUUCGGAGCUAACGCGUUAAGUAGACCGCCUGGGGAGUACGGUCGCAAGAUUAAAACUCAAAUGAAUUGACGGGGGCCCGCACAAGCGGUGGAGCAUGUGGUUUAAUUCGAUGCAACGCGAAGAACCUUACCUACUCUUGACAUCCAGAGAACUUUCCAGAGAUGGAUUGGUGCCUUCGGGAACUCUGAGACAGGUGCUGCAUGGCUGUCGUCAGCUC
rnacentral:rRNA from 1 species